AAGGAGUCUGACAUAUGUGCGAGUGUUUGGGUGUCGAACCCACGCGCGUAAUGAACAUGAACGUUGAGAUAUUAGCAUCGGCAGCCGACCGAGCAAUCAGGAUAGCUUUGAGCAUGAGCAUAUUUGUUGGGACCCGAAAGAUGGUGAACUAUGCCUGAAUAGUGCGAAGCCUGAGGAAACUCUGGUGGAGGCUCGUAGCGAUUCUGACGUGCAAAUCGAUCGUCACAUUUGGGUAUAGGGGCGAAAGACUAAUCGAACCAUCUAGUAGCUGGUUCCUGC
rnacentral:misc_RNA from 1 species